rnacentral:rRNA from 1 species
AUGUGGGAGAACCAGACCUUUUUUGUUCCAGCUUAUUUCCAAGGAUUGUUCUGCCCUUUCAUUAGGUCAACCAGCCGUAGUGAAAGUUUCAACUCUAAUUUCAAAGACUAUAUCAGGAGGAAAGAUACUAUAGAGGCAUUCAUGAAACAAUACGUGCUAUUCCAAGAAAAUGUUGUUCACAUUGAAAACCAGGACAGAUUCUUGUCAAAUGAGAAGAGUCAUGUGUAUUGGAGUCAUCAGGCUGUUGAACGGCAUGCAGCAGCAAUAUAUACCAAAGGAAUUUACUUGAAAUUUCUCACAGAAUUAGUGAAUGCGACAGCUUUUAAAGUUAUAGAAGUUGAGAAGGAGAGAGUGUAUGACUUGAAUAAGCACACAUGGUACAGAAAAACAGAAUUCACAAGAGAAAUGUUCAGAGUUAAUGUUGACCUUGUUACUGGGUCGUUUCAAUGUUUUUGUGGGAAAUUUGAGCGUGAUGGUAUUGUUUGUUGCCAUAUCCUCAGACUGUUUACACAGUUCAACAUUACCCAAAUUCCAGAUAAAUUGAUUGUUGACAGGUGGACUAUUUCUUUUCGAGAAAACGAACUAGAGAAGUUCAAGAAAGAUAAUAUAUUGUUUGGAGGUGAUGAUCAAUCACACAAUGCUGUUAGAUAUGCUAUCCUGAUGAGUAAAGUUGGGGAAGCUUGCUCGUACGUUAGCAAAGAUUCUGAGCUUAGUAAAGAACUCCUUGAUGCUGUUGCUCAAGUUCAUGUCAAGUAUUUGCAGGGAAAGAAACAUCAAGAUAAAGUGCAAACUGAGAAUUCAUUGAAAGAUCCUCCAGUACGGUCAUCAAAGUCUGUCAACAAAGUGCAAACUGAUGAUUCAUUGAAAGAUCCUCCUGUGCGGUCAUCAAAGUCUGUCAACAAAGGAGAAAGAUUGAAGCCACAAUCUGAAAAGAAAUCUAGGAAGAAAUCUGUUGUAAAGAAGAAGACUGCUUGA